CGGGGCGUGGCGCAGUCUGGUAGCGCACUUGUCUGGGGGACAAGUGGUCGCUGGUUCAAAUCCAGUCGCUCCGACCA
rnacentral:tRNA from 1 species